AAUCCAUAGGUUAAUGAGGCGAACCGGGGGAACUGAAACAUCUAAGUACCCCGAGGAAAAGAAAUCAACCGAGAUUCCCCCAGUAGCGGCGAGCGAACGGGGAGGAGCCCAGAGCCUGAAUCAGCAUGUGUGUUAGUGGAAGCGUCUGGAAAGGCGCGCGAUACAGGGUGAGAGCCCCGUACACAAAAGCGCACGUGCUGUGAGCUCGAUGAGUAGGGCGGGACACGUGGUAUCCUGUCUGAAUAUGGGGGGACCAUCCUCCAAGGCUAAAUACUCCUGACUGACCGAUAGUGAACCAGUACCGUGAGGGAAAGGCGAAAAGAACCCCGGCGAGGGGAGUGAAACAGAACCUGAAACCGUGUACGUACAAGCAGUGGGAGCCCCACCACUAAGCCAGUGGUGAACUCCACAUACGCAUCCUUUGCUG
rnacentral:rRNA from 2 species